rnacentral:rRNA from 1 species
UACGUAGGGGCCGAGCGUUGUCCGGAAUUAUUGGGCGUAAAGAGUUCGUAGGCGGUUUGUUGCGUCAGUUGUGAAAACCAGCAGCUCAACUGUUGGCUUGCAGGCGAUACGGGCAGACUUGAGUACUGCAGGGGAGACUGGAAUUCCUGGUGUAGCGGUGAAAUGCGCAGAUAUCAGGAGGAACACUGGUGGCGAAGGCGGGUCUCUGGGCAGUAACUGACGCUGAGGAACGAAAGCGUGGGUAGCGAACAGG